rnacentral:rRNA from 1 species
AACGUAAGAAUGACUCGUAGGUGAAAGCUUACAUCUCUUCGGACGCAUUUUACGUAGGUGCUGCGUGGUUGUCGUCAGCUCGUGCCGUGAGGUGUCGGGUUAAGUCCCGAUAACGAGCGCAACCCCUACCUUUAGUUGCCAUCAGGUAAUGCUGGGGACUCUAAAGGAACUGCCUACGCAAGUAGUGAGGAAGGCGGGGAGUGACGUCAAAUCAGCACGGCCCUUACGUCCAGGGCUACACACGUGCUACAAUGGCCGAUACAGAGGGCAGCUACCUGGUGACAGGAUGCAAAUCUCCAAAGUCGGUCUCAGUUCGGAUCGGAGUCUGCAACCCGACUCCGUGAAGUUGGAUUCGCUAGUAAUCGCGCAUCAGCCAUGGCGCGGUGAAUACGUUCCCGGGCCUU